UGGCGUUGAAUCGGUGGGUUGUUUCGGGGUGCAGUCCAUCGUGGAGCCAGCCCGAGGGUUAUGUGUUACCUCAAACCGAAUAGGCAUUUGCCGAAAGAAAACACUUUAU
rnacentral:ncRNA from 1 species